rnacentral:misc_RNA from 1 species
UUCCAUCAUUAAAAUUAAUUUUUAAUAACUUAUAAUUAAUAUAUUUAAAGAACUAUUAUUCUUAAUAAAAACUCUAAUAGCAAUUUUUCUUUUCUUUUUUUUUCUCUUUUGAUAAAUAAAACACUGGCAUUUAUCUAUAUAUAGGAUAAUAGACAAACAAAUUUUUGAUACAUUUGGAAGAUUUUUCCUCUCUCAAUUAAAGAAAUAAGAAAAACAUUUUCUUGAAUAAAGAUGGAAGUCUUGGUUGGUCUGGUUUCUUUUUUUCUUUUGUUGUUUUAAAUUUCCAGCGGCG